AUCUAGAUAUUUCUCAGUCUGACAAAAAAUGUCGCUUAACUAAAAACACUAUCAUCAUAAAGUCAGACUAGAAGAUAGAGAAACCAAGAAGUCUAUAUUUUAUAUUUUAAACUAAAGAUAGAUCUUCACGUGAGGAAUCCAUGUCCCCUAACCAGCCUGACAAGUGAGCAGAUGAGAAUAAAGUCAAGGUCAACAAAAUUGGCACGAGACACGCUGCCUUAUCAUGGCAUACCCACAUACCAAAUAGCAAAGGCCUAUGUCAGAAGAAAGAAAAUUUAUGGCCUGGACUAUAUUUUGUAUGAGAAGCAGAAGAUGAAGCGGAAGAAGAAUUCUGUCCCCGCGCUUCUGGGAAGGAGAGACAUAAUAAACAAAACCAAAGUAUUCAAAAUGUUGAUGAUUUAAAUCUGAAUGAUUCGGAGGAAGAAAAUUUUGUUAUCUUCAGCAAUAACUUAAGAACACUUACAGUCUGAGGUCCGAUCCUAAUUUCCUUUGUAAAAUCCAGCUUGGACAAUGCCUGGGUCAUGGCUUUAUUUGGAAUAUUUCCAUCUUUCUUUACCACCAAAAACAGGAAAUUGAAGUUUGCUUAAAUCCAUAGAUAAAUCAAUUGGUUUUUAUUUUUAACUUUAAGUGAUUUCCCAAUUUCAACCAAUUAUCGGGAUUUUUUUCCCCAGUGUGAAUGGCCUUGAAAUCAAAGGUUGAUUAAAUCUUUUCAUAUGUUUACAAAACCUUGAUACAAGACAAAUUUAGUUAAAGUUACAUGACCAUGCAUUGAAAUGAAGUGAUGAAGAAGACUGUUCCUUUCACAGUUGAACUAAUUUUCACUAUACCUAUAAGUGGUUUUAUGUACUCUUGAACUUUCUCUUCAAAGUUCUUUUUAAAACUGAAAAAAAAGUAAUAAUUUGUUUCAUUUGGGCCAGAGAAUUUCUCUUUGGUCUUGUCAACAGUUCAGAUGCAGAGAACCGAAUAGCUGCAGUUCUCAAAAAAGUUUUUAGUAAAGACUGCAUGCUGCUAGGGCUAUGACAUGGACAAUUAAGAAGAAAUUAUAAUCCAACGCUUAUCAACAACUAGAGCGUAACAAUUAUCAACAUCACUGUCAUUAUAAAAUUAGCAAUGUCACUGUCAUCAUAAAAUUAUCAACGUCACUGUCAUCAUAAAGUUAUCAAUGUCACUGUCAUCAUCAAAUUAUCAACAUCACUGUCAUCAUCAAAUUAUCAACGUCACUGUCAUCAUAAAAUUAUCAACAUCACUGUCAUCAUCAAAUUAUCAACAUCACUGUCAUCAUAAAAUUAUCAACAUCACUGUCAUCAUCAAAUUAUCAAUGUCACUGUCAUCAUAAAAUUAUCAACGUCACUGUCAUCAUAAAAUUAUCAAUGUCACUGUCAUCAUCAAAUUAUCAACAUCACUGUCAUCAUCAAAUUAUCAACAUCACUGUCAUCAUCAAAUUAUCAACAUCACUGUCAUUAUAAAAUUAUCAACAUCACUGUCAGUAUAAAAUUAUCAAUGUCACUGUCAGUAUAAAAUUAUCAACAUCACUGUCAUCAUCAAAUUAUCAACGUCACUGUCAUCAUAAAAUUAUCAACAUCACUGUCAUUAUAAUCAACAUCACUGUCAUUAUAAAAUUAUCAACAUCACUGUCAUUAUAAAAUUAUCAACGUCACUGUUAUCAUAAAUUAUCAACAUCACUGUCAUUCUAAAAUUACUGUUCAUACCCUUUCCAUCAAAUUGAUGUGUACAUCUAAACGAAUCAAUAAACUUGUAUUAAAAAUGUGUGGUGUUUUUUGUUUGUUUGUUUGGUUUUUUUUAAAUUACUACGAACCAUUAUUUUUUAAAUUUCUGCAAAGGAAAUUGGAAAUAUCUGUUUCAUAUUAAAUGCUAUAAUACAAUUAGAUAUGAAAAUACACAUAAUCAUAUGAAGAUGUCUAAGAUAUCUGAUGAGGAGGAUAUUUGUUUGCAUUAAACAAUGUUAAGUAAGCUUCUUAAACAAAUUCGCAACAUCAUAAAAAUGAUAAGUGUAACUUCAUAGUGUCAAUGAAAUACUAACCAGGAAUAAAUCUCACCCUCCCUGCCUUUCUCUUCUCUCCCUAUCUUUCUCUAUUUCUUUCUAUUUCUAUCUUUCUCUCACUUCUUGUCUGUCUCUCUCUCUCUCUCUCUCUCUCUCUCUCUCUCUCUCUCUGUCUUUCUCUCUCACUAACUUCAUAUCAUGCACAAAUCAAUUUGAGGUAUGAAUAUAGGUAAUGGUUGCAAAAAAAAAAAACAAGAAAUGAUUUAGAAACAAAUGUCUCCCAUGUGGCUAUAGGUGAAAAAGAUCAACAACUUUACAAUUAGAAUGUCUGUAGUGUCUGUGAGGAAUAUGGGUUAUCUACUAGUCAGAGGCAACCAUAAUGAUAGGUGUUCUCUCAAAAUACUGAGCAGACAUUUCAAAAUAAUCAGACAUUUGAGCCACGACCUUUGACCUUGUGACUUGAAAACCAAUGGAGACUAUCUAUUCUUUAAAGCAAUAU